rnacentral:rRNA from 1 species
UUAGCUAGUUGGUGAGGUAAAGGCUCACCAAGGCGACGAUCAGUAGCUGGUCUGAGAGGAUGAUCAGCCACAUUGGGACUGAGACACGGCCCAAACUCCUACGGGAGGCAGCAGUGGGGAAUCUUGCGCAAUGGGCGAAAGCCUGACGCAGCCAUGCCGCGUGAAUGAUGAAGGUCUUAGGAUUGUAAAAUUCUUUCACCGGGGACGAUAAUGACGGUACCCGGAGAAGAAGCCCCGGCUAACUUCGUGCCAGCAGCCGCGGUAAUACGAAGGGGGCUAGCGUUGCUCGGAAUUACUGGGCGUAAAGGGAGCGUAGGCGGACAUUUAAGUCAGGGGUGAAAUCCCGGGGCUCAACCUCGGAAUUGCCUUUGAUACUGGGUGUCUUGAGUAUGAGAGAGGUGUGUGGAACUCCGAGUGUAGAGGUGAAAUUCGUAGAUAUUCGGAAGAACACCAGUGGCGAAGGCGACACACUGGCUCAUUACUGACGCUGAGGCUCGAAAGCGUGGGGAGCAAACAGGAUUAGAUACCCUGGUAGUCCACGCCGUAAACGAUGAUUGCUAGUUGUCGGGAUGCAUGCAUUUCGGUG